rnacentral:rRNA from 1 species
AAAAACAUGUCUUUUUGAAAAUAAUUUAAAGUCUGACCUGCCCACUGAGAUAUAAAUUUGAAGGGCCGCAGUAUAUUGACUGUGCAAAGGUAGCAUAAUCAUUAGUCUUUUAAUUGGGGACUGGUAUGAAUGGUUUAACGAAGUAUUAACUGUCUCAUUUUAAUAAGUUGAAAUUAACUUUUAAGUCAAAAGGCUUAAAUAAAGUUAGAGGACGAGAAGACCCUAUAGAGCUUUAUAAAUUUAAUAUAAAAUAUAAUUUGGUAGUUUUAUUAAUUUAUGUAUAGAAUUUAUUUUAUUGGGGUGAUAUAAAGAUUUAAUAAACUCUUUAUAAUAAUUGAACAUUAAUAUAUGAAUGAUUGAUCCAUUUUUAGUGAUUAUAAGAUUAAGUUACCUUAGGGAUAACAGCGUAAUGUUUUUUGAGAGUUCUUAUCAACAAAAAAGAUUGCGACCUCGAUGUUGGAUUAAGGAAAAGGUUGGGUGUAGAAGUUCAAAUAUUUAGGUCUGUUCGACCUUUAAUUCCUUACGUCAUCUG